rnacentral:rRNA from 1 species
UACGGAGGGUGCAAGCGUUGUCCGGAAUUAUUGGGCGUAAAGAGCUCGUAGGCGGUCUGUCGCGUCGGAUGUGAAAAUCCAGGGCUUAACCCUGGACCUGCAUUCGAUACGGGCAGACUAGAGUUCGGUAGGGGAGACUGGAAUUCCUGGUGUAGCGGUGAAAUGCGCAGAUAUCAGGAGGAACACCAAUGGCGAAGGCAGCUCGCUGGGACGGUACUGACGCUGAGGCGCGAAAGCGUGGGGAGCAAACAGG